rnacentral:pre_miRNA from 1 species
UUACUACUCCCUCCGUCCCAAAAUUCUUGUCUUAGAUUUGUCUAAAUACGAAUGUAUCAAGUCACGUUUUAGUAUUAGGUACAUCCGUAUCUAGACAAAUCUAAGACAAGAAUUUUGGGACGGAGGGAGUACACA